GAUGAACGCUGGCGGCGUGCCUAAUACAUGCAAGUCGAGCGAACGGACGAGAAGCUUGCUUCUCUGAUGUUAGCGGCGGACGGGUGAGUAACACGUGGAUAACCUACCUAUAAGACUGGGAUAACUUCGGGAAACCGUAGCUAAUACCGGAUAAUAUUUUGAACCGCAUGGUUCAAAAGUGAAAGACGGUCUUGCUGUCACUUAUAGAUGGAUCCGCGCUGCAUUAGCUAGUUGGUAAGGUAACGGCUUACCAAGGCAACGAUGCAUAGCCGACCUGAGAGGGUGAUCGGCCACACUGGAACUGAGACACGGUCCAGACUCCUACGGGAGGCAGCAGUAGGGAAUCUUCCGCAAUGGGCGAAAGCCUGACGGAGCAACGCCGCGUGAGUGAUGAAGGUCUUCGGAUCGUAAAACUCUGUAAUUAGGGAAGAACAUAUGUGUAAGUAACUGUGCACAUCUUGACGGUACCUAAUCAGAAAGCCACGGCUAACUACGUG
rnacentral:rRNA from 1 species